CCCGAAAGAUAAAAUGUACAUGCAAACGGCGAAAUAAUAUGUUCCGCUUUCCUGGCGGCGUGCGCAUGACAAAAGUGGACAUGUUCCAAUUUGACGUCAUUGACUUCCUGUCCAUCCCGACUGAACAACAUUUCCCGUUUCCUGAGAAAAGAGAGCAGAUCACCAGCGGAUUAUGAUUUUGAAAAGGUUAGUGUCGACCCGUCCGGUGGCGAGAAUUUCUUUCACGAACACUUUGAGCUGCACAUGACAGGAAGUGCCCGCCGGCGCGCGCCACGCUGGCCCCGAUGCUCUGCGGGGUCGCCAAGGGGGCCGACGUCACCGGUACGGGAAGGCCUCUCGGGCGGCCUCGCGCCCUCCCAACCCCCCCGCCGCUGGACCUGCGUGUUGAAUCCGGCAGGCCGGGAAGUGCGCUGGUCGGCUAAUGACGUUCCUCCACCUGCGCUCAACAUUCUCACCUGCCAUUAUGCUCAUUUUAUUAGGGACCCGGGACCAGGCACCAGAGAUCGCCGUCAGAAGUUCAUGCGAGGCGCCGCCGGUCGCUGCCAUCCAAGUGACGAAGUGGAGCUUCAAUUCCCUCCGGGAGCAAAAACUGAAACGGAGGAAACGAGGCAAGCGUUGGACCCCUGGUUGCCAUGGCGACGCGUUUUCGCCAUUCUACGCGUGGCUGUGGACGGAGAUGCUGGACAGGUCGUUCCUGAUGAUCUCAUUGACUGAAAGACAAAAAAAAAAAAAGUCUGAUUUGAUUGACUGCGAGCUUGCCGCGUCGGAGGAGGAACGCCAGCGGCACCGCGGACCCGGAAGGAGUCCGGCACGGCGCCUUUCCGAGGCUUCGGCCGACCUUUGCGUCAUCGACGCCUGCCUUGGUUGCCGGUGCAAAGGUACAGACUAAGUAUUCGAAUGAAUUAGCUUGCGCUGCUAAUUGAAGCUUUUGUUGACAGUUGUCACUGCUAGCAAACGGUUAGCGUAGCAAGCGUUUUAAAUUUGGUUGCCAUGACAACAGAGCAAACUGAUCCCAAGGUACAGACCAAGUCUUCGAAUGUAUUAGCUUGCGCUGCUAAUUCAAGCGUUGAGCACCAGACGCAACGUCUUGAACACAACAGCUACUGAAGAAAUGGGAAAACCGAACGGCGCUUGCGGCAUCUCGUGCUAGCGACGGAAAGUUAGCGGCAAGGUGAAUGUUACGUUGGUAAAAUUAAGGAAAAACUAAAUGGAAAAAAAAGGACGGAAUACACAAUGUAUUGAAUUCAUUCUUGCCAAAUAUCUCUCUCUCCUUUUCCUGAGCCACUCAUCCUCACGAAGGUCGCCGGAACGCCGGAGCCAAUCCCGGCUGAGAUCCGGCAAGAGGCGGGGCUUACCCUGAACCGGUCGCCGGCCAAUUGUUUCAGUGACGUGGACCAACUCAGAAACGUAAAAGUUGACGUGCGCCGGCGCCGAGAGACGCCGGUUGCGGUACGGCGGGAUUUCCACCAGCAGCGUGUUCUGAAAGACAAAAGGACGAAAAAGCUCAAAGUCUAGAAAUGCCGUUGUGGGGCGAAUCCCGACGCAGAAUCUUUGUGUUCAAACCGUUUCCAUGUCGAAUGGACUCAAAUGACGACGACAAAAGGCCGGAAACGCUCGUGCCGAUCCCGCGACGCGAGUGACCGGCGCCCGCAAACUGGACUUUUAACGGGGAGGAGUAAAUGUCAACAAAUGGGGCGUGAAGCCUCCGCGGGCCAAACGUUCCGGCGCUUUCUCUCUCUCGUGUGUGUAGAAAGGUGGGAGCAGGUGCAGCGCCUUGUAAAAACAAGACGCUAAUCCCACCGCUGCCGCUCCGCUAAGUUCACCAGGGGAAAAAAAAAAAAAGUGGAGACCGGCACCGCCGCACGUAACGUGAGGUCAUAUUUUCACUUGUGUACACGAAACUCCGAACAGUUGUACGAAUCCGGCUGAGAUAAAAAAAAAAAAUGCUAACUUGAAAUCGACCCGGUUAGCGGAGUCAUUGUCGCGUUUCUUCCAAAUAUUCGGCUCCGUUAUUAGAAUCACGAUUCUUAGCUUUGCUACGCACAAUCCGGGAAAACCAAAACCGAAAACCAGGAAAAUGGAGUCCGCAGCCGUGAGCGUGACGCUUUUUGGACCGCUAAAACCGAUGAAACGCGGGAGGUUAGAACUGCAACCGAGCCCAGUUUGGACCCGAGAAAAACAAAGCACUUGCCGGCGGAAGCAAAUGGGCCACACUCAGACCGGCGACCUAACGAAGGGGGCUGAGUCGAGAAACGGGUCGGGAGCGGGAAAUCGGGAAGCGGCGACAUCGGCGCCUUUUUUUUUUUUUUUUUUUUUUUUUUUUGCGUGUGUGCUGAUUUACG